UACCAGCACGGCGAGUGGUCGGGACGUUUACUGGGCCUAAAGCGCCCGUAGCCGGCCCGGCAAGACCCCCCUGAAAUCCCCGAGCUCAACCCGGGGACGGGUGGGAAUACUGCCGGGCUAGGGGGCGGGAGAGGCAGAGGGUACUACCGGGGUAGGGGCGAAAUCCGAUAAUCCCGAUAGGACCACCAGUGGCGAAGGCGUUCGGCUGGAACGCGCCCGACGGUGAGGGGCGAAAGCCGGGGGAGCGAACCGG
rnacentral:rRNA from 1 species